rnacentral:rRNA from 1 species
GUGGGGAAUAUUGGACAAUGGGCGCAAGCCUGAUCCAGCCAUGCCGCGUGAGUGAUGAAGGCCCUAGGGUUGUAAAGCUCUUUCACCGAUGAAGAUAAUGACGGUAGUCGGAGAAGAAGCCCCGGCUAACUUCGUGCCAGCAGCCGCGGUAAUACGAAGGGGGCUAGCGUUGUUCGGAAUUACUGGGCGUAAAGCGCACGUAGGCGGAUAUUUAAGUCAUGGGUGAAAUCCCAGAGCUCAACUCUGGAACUGCCUUUGAUACUGGGUAUCUCGAGUAUGGAAGAGGUGAGUGGAAUUCCGAGUGUAGAGGUGAAAUUCGUAGAUAUUCGGAGGAACACCAGUGGCGAAGGCGGCUCACUGGUCCAUUACUGACGCUGAGGUGCGAAAGCGUGGGGAGCAAACAGGAUUAGAAACCCGGGUAGUCC